GGGCAGUGGCGGACGGGUGAGGAAUACAUCGGGACCUACCUAGACGUGGGGGAUAACGUAUGGAAACUUACGCUAAUACCGCAUACGUCCUACGGGAGAAAGCGGGGGAUCUUCGGACCUCGCGCGGUUAGACGGACCGAUGUUCGAUUAGCUAGUUGGUGGGGUAACGGCUUACCAAGGCGACGAUCGAUAGCUGGUCUGAGAGGAUGAUCAGCCACACUGGGACUGAGACACGGCCCAGACUCCUACGGGAGGCAGCAGUGGGGAAUAUUGGACUAUGGGCGCAAGCCUGAUCCAGCAAUGCCGCGUGUGUGAAGAAGGCCUUCGGGUUGUAAAGCACUUUUACCAGGAGCGAAAUACCAUCGGCUAAUACCCGGUGGGGCUGACGGUACCUGAGGAAUAAGCACCGGCUAACUUCGUGCCAGCAGCCGCGGU
rnacentral:rRNA from 1 species